UAAUACAGAGGGGGCAAGCGUUAUUCGGAAUUAUUGGGCGUAAAGGGCGCGUAGGCGGCGAUUCAAGUGACGGGUGAAAUCCCUCGGCUUAACCGAGGAACUGCCUGUCAGACUGGGUUGCUUGAGACCGGGAGAGGCGAGUGGAAUUCCCAGUGUAGCGGUGAAAUGCGUAGAUAUUGGGAGGAACACCAGUGGCGAAGGCGGCUCGCUGGACCGGAACUGACGCUGAGGCGCGAAAGCGUGGGGAGCAAACAGGAUUAGAUACCCUGGUAGUCCACGCCGUAAACGAUGAGUGCUUGGUGUAGCGGGUAUCGACCCCUGCUGUGCCGAAGUCAACACAUUAAGCACUCCGCCUGGGGAGUACGGUCGCAAGACUG
rnacentral:rRNA from 1 species